GUAGGUGGCAAGCGUUGUCCGGAAUUAUUGGGCGUAAAGCGCGCGCAGGUGGGUUCUUUAAAGUCUGAUGUGAAAGCCCCCGGGCUCAACCGGGGAGGGUCAUUGGAAACUGGGGGAACUUGAGUGCAGGAGAGGAAAGUGGAAUUCCACGUGUAGCGGUGAAAUGCGUAGAUAUGUGGAGGAACACCAGUGGCGAAGGCGACUUUCUGGCCUGUAACUGACACUGAGGCGCGAAAGCGUGGGGAGCAAACAGGAUUAGAUACCCUGGUAGUCCACGCCGUAAACGAUGAGUGCUAAGUGUUGGGGGGUUUCCGCCCCUCAGUGCUGCAGCUAACGCAUUAAGCACUCCGCCUGGGGAGUACGGUCGCAAGACUG
rnacentral:rRNA from 1 species